AUACGGGGUGUCAUUGAUUUGAACCAAAUUAAUCCAAUAACCCAUUUACAAUUACAAGCCAUAUUGGGUUUGCAAGCCUGCUACUUGAGACGAAAAGAGAGUCCUUUUAAUCAAAACCCCAAUCUUGAAUGUACAAAACUCGUAAGUCGUAACCCAUUCAAAGGGUUUUGGGUUUUUAAGCUUAUUUAUUCCUCGUAUUGGUUGCCUUGCCUGCACCUAGUUAUCGCCAUCUCUGCUUCUCUCCAGGCUCCACUCAACCUCCAUCAAGGCUUCUAUUUUUUUCAAAGGAAAUCCAAAUCCAUUCCAGAAACAAGCACAUUAUGAUUGAUCUUGGCAUCGAUAAUAACAAGAUUAACUGGGCUCUCAAGGACAAACAGGAGUUCAAAGACAUCAUUGGGACUGUAUACCGUGAGGCAUGGAAAGGCCGUGGUUUGAAAGAUUACUCGAAAAAGUACUACUAUUAAGUAUUCUUCCAACAUGUAGUUGAUCAGAAUGUAAAUUGUAUGUAGAUAUGUGUGUCAUUUGCAAUGUUUGGUUGCGUGAAUGUGGAGGAUAAUCCAAUUUGAGAUGAAACUUUGAAAUAUAUAUUUUAUGUGCUCUUUUGAUGCUUGUUUACAGUAUAGCACCUUACCUUGGAGUGACUUUCCUUACAGUUGUUUGAAAAGGAACAAGUUUUUUAAUUUAACUAUAUAAAAAUAUAAAUGAUAUGUUUAUAAAGA